rnacentral:rRNA from 1 species
CAGCAGCCACGGGAAUACGUAGGUGGCAAGCGUUGUCAGGAAUUAUUGGGCGUAAAGGGCUCGCAGGCGGUUUCUUAAGUCUGAUGUGAAAGCCCCCGGCUCAACCGGGGAGGGUCAUUGGAAACUGGGAAACUUGAGUGCAGAAGAGGAGAGUGGAAUUCCACGUGUAGCGAUGAAAUGCGUAGAGAUGUGGAGGAACACCAGUGGCGAAGGCGACUCUCUGGUCUGUAACUGACGCUGAGGAGCGAAAGCGUGGGGAGCGAACAGGAUUAGAUACCCGGGUAGUCCCUGUCUCUUAACA